AGAAGGCCUAAGUAAUUUUUCAACCCCAAAAACAUGUUUCUAGAGAGCCCUGUUCCCUGAAGUGAUGUCAUUUGCUAGACGUUUCCUCCAAACCACUAAUACAGUAGCGUGCAAAUGAGCAAAGAGGAAAUAGAAGAGUGAAAUUGCAGAGAAGAAAAAGAGAGAGAAAUCUGAAGAGGACCGAGUGAUAAUUUAUUUUUAAUUUCACAUCUUCAUUACAGAGGAAUGACCUCCUUAGCCAGAAAAAUUCAAAAGAGUAAACUGCUGCAAUGUCAAUUUAGAAAUCAUCUGCACAACCAAUUAUUAUUCAAGCUGUAGUACUAUACCUAUAAUGUAACACAGGCAUUUCAUCUCCAGAUGCCAUUGCACUACCAGAGAUGUGCGUUACACACAACUGAGCCUUGCAAAUCAUAGCUUUACCUGGUGAAUUGCCUCCUAUAUAAUAAUUAAAAUAGAAAAUUAUUUAAGGUCAUAAAGGAGGAAUGAAGGAGUCGAAUUGAUGUUGGGACAACUUUUAAAAUCCAUCUCUAACUGCUCUCACUCUGAAAAGGUAGACUUUCAACAGCACACUGAGGUUUGAAAACACAUAGGAAACACCCUGAAUAGCCCAAGAAUUUAAAGGUUCAACUUUUCUUUUGUAACAUUCAGUGUGCUCCAUCCCUGACAGCCAAAAAUACCUCAGCUAUAAACAUGGAUCGCUAAAAUCAGCAGGACGCAAGCAUGUCCAAAAGUGCUGUAAAUGUACAUUACUUCUAGAUCUCAGCUUCCUUUAAAAUGGUAAGAUGUAAUGUCUGAUUCUCUCAUUAGCUUAUCAGAGAAAUAGGAAAAGAAAUGACAUUUGUGUAUAGAAAUGGUCAUUUUCAAUGUUUGGAGGAGCUGAGUUCUGAUUUAAGUUGAAAUACAGAUCCUCUUCCAACCUCACCAACGUUACCAAAGCUUCAAGAGUCCCACACUGUAUGCGCUAUGGUUGUGCUCAUAAAAAUUAUUCAUACCUGCAUAAGUAUUUCAUAUACUGAAAGCACUUUACAAACACUUACUGAGUAAGAAUCAUAGACAGAGCCUUGUAAGGCUUAUCAUUCUCAUUUUAAAGCAGUAGAGGUGAAAUGACUUGCUCAAGGCCAUGACAUAAUUUGGUGGGCAGAACUGGGAUUAGAGCACAGACUUUCAUGCCUCACACCUCAUUACUGCACAUCGCUCUGUCUCUCAGGUUGAGAAACUGGAAAGGAUUUGGUAAGAGAUUUCCCCUUUAUUUCUUCAUGUUGCUGUGUCUUAGAUGAGGUGUCAAAAUGAAAGGUGGUCCACAUUGUGUGAGCAUUAUUGAUCCCAAUUCACUCUUCAGCAGAGCUGGAACCCAGCUCCAAAUUUGUCCCUUCUGGGGACUGUCUUCCCUGUUUCAGAGACAGUUGUACUCGUACUGGUGUUACUCUGCAAGCAGUUGAAGAAAAUCUUUGGGAUUUUAUGAAUGAGAGAUACUAUGCAACUGUAAAAAUAAUAUCCAUUUUUUAUGAUGUUCCCUGUUCAUUUGGGACUCUUUGAUAUUACUAGUAUUGUUAUGAUUAUUAUUAUUAGUGUUUCUCUGAACAUCCCCCUCUGUUGCAAAUCCUGUUCUCUGUCAAAUAAAUUGCUUGUUAAAUGGACCUAUCCGUCGAGAAAGACAAAAUAGAAGUAAAUUUGUCCUGCUACUGUCAUUAAUAUGCUAUUAAAAGAUCUAUUUGAAAGAAUGUUGCCUAUUUGCUGUAAAUCCCCACAAAGAAACAAAAAAUGUUUGCAGAAUCUCAAGGCAUGCAUGCACCUGUGCUGUUAAUUCCCAACAUGUCAAAUUGCUCAGUAAUAAAGUGUUUCUGUAAU
ensembl:lncRNA